rnacentral:rRNA from 1 species
GACGAACGCUGGCGGCGUGCUUAACACAUGCAAGUCGAGCGGAAAGGCCCUUCGGGGUACUCGAGCGGCGAACGGGUGAGUAACACGUGAGUAACCUGCCCCAGACUUUGGGAUAACCCUCGGAAACGGGGGCUAAUACUGGAUACGACACAGCUUCGCAUGGGGUCUGUGUGGAAAGUUUUUCGGUUUGGGAUGGGCUCGCGGCCUAUCAGCUUGUUGGUGGGGUGAUGGCCUACCAAGGCGACGACGGGUAGCCGGCCUGAGCGGGCGACCGGCCACACUGGGACUGAGGCGAGGCCCAGACUCCUACGGGAGGCAGCAGUGGGGAAUAUUGCACAAUGGGCGGAAGCCUGAUGCAGCGACGCCGCGUGAGGGAUGACGGCCUUCGGGUUGUAAACCUCUUUCAGCAGGGACGAAGCGUAAGUGACGGUACCUGCAGAAGAAGCACCGGCCAACUACGUGC